rnacentral:rRNA from 1 species
CAGCCGCCACGGGAAUACGUAGGUGGCAAGCGUUGUCCGGAUUUAUUGGGCGUAAAGCGAGCGCAGGCGGUUCCUUAAGUCUGAUGUGAAAGCCCCCGGCUCAACCGGGGAGGGUCAUUGGAAACUGGGGAACUUGAGUGCAGAAGAGGAGAGUGGAAUUCCAUGUGUAGCGGUGAAAUGCGUAGAUAUAUGGAGGAACACCAGUGGCGAAGGCGACUCUCUGGUCUGUAACUGACGCUGAGGCUCGAAAGCGUGGGUAGCAAACAGGAUUAGAUACCCCGGUAGUCCCUGUCUCUUAUAC